AUGAAAAAGGCCAAGAAGGAGCUCGAGGUGCGGAUUCUGAAAUGGCCGGAAUGUUGGGGACUUUCUUGGCGGGGGGCUCUGAGCUCCUGGGAGGACACUAACUUUGCCUCUGCUCCAAACCCCACGAAAGCCGGCUGGUCUGAGCAGAGGCGGCAGCUCAGCGUCCCCCCAGCCAGAGCACGGCUUCACGCUGGGGAUCUUCUCGGCCACCUUCAUCGGGAUGGCGACAAUGCCCGGCCCGGGGCCGCUCCCUCCUCGGAUCCCCGAGGGGCUCUCGCUUCUGCCGGGCUCACCAGGCCAGAGUCUGUGUACGCAAGUGGCCGAGUCACCUCUCAGGCGUGUGCGUGUGCGUGCUGUCCAGUGAGCCCACGCCAUGGGGCUGCUCAUCCCAAGCAUUUCACAGCCCUCUUUACGGCAAACCGACUCAUGUGGGGCGCCACAGGGGCCCGGAGCAUCUCAGAGGCCUGGUGGGGGGGGGGGCGCAACACGAAACCACAAAAGCAUCUUUUGCUAUUCUGGGCCUCGGACUCGCCUGGGGAAUCGGCGGCGCUUUGGCUCACAACAAAGCCGGAUCUUCACCCAGAAGGGCCACCAGCAGCUCGUUUCUACACUCCCAGUUUCAGUCACUGGAAUGCGAUCAGCCAGGAAAGGACCCCUUUUAGCGAAGGAUGUCCAGUAACGGGUGGUACGAAGCCCCCGGGGCACCCUUGGCCACAAGCGCGCACUCUCGGGCCCUGGGAGAAGGCUCGUGAAGGCUCUCGGGGCGUCCUUUCUUCAUCCUCUCCUGGCUGGGGCCCCGAGUCUCUGAAUCUGCUUCCUCUCAGCAGCUUUUGGUCCAUGGCUGGGUCCCGGCUCGCCUCUCCGUCUCCGGGUCUUUCUCCCCUCCUUGCCUGGGUGGCUUGUGGCCCGGCAGUGAGGAGAGAGGAGGAGUGGAAGGCUCACUCCCUGCCCGCUACAGUACAGGGUCAAGGCAGUACCCCGAGGCACUGCCUCAGAGCCUGGAGCCCCCGGCUGAGCUGGAUCCCCCAUCUCCCCAUUGCUUACAGCCACCCGGAACAAUCUAACAAACAGACUCCUGGUAAAGGGACCACAGGACGCGGCCAGGCUUCCUUCACGGGGUGCUUCUUCAUUACUCCCCUCUCUCCAUUCUAA
rnacentral:lncRNA from 1 species